UAGGCCUCCGCUUCCUGGCGGCGCGGUAGCGGCGGGCGACCCGAUUGGCGGCCAGGCCUGCGCCCCGCCCCGCCCCGCCGGGCGGGCCUCCGCGCCCUCUCCAGCCGGGCCCUUUCCUUUCCGCGGGAGGCGUCCCGGAGAGUGGCUUGGUGGCGCGCAGUUCCCCCUGACUGUGCGCCCUCGCGUCUGGUCUCCUUUGCAGAGGACUUGGUAGCUGCAGCUCCCGGAGAACAGCGGGCAGAGCUGCGGGCUGGGCGCGCCCCUGCUGCCACCGGGCGUCCCGCGAUGGCUCCCGCGCCCCGCGGCGACUUCCGCGCCCGCGCUCCCCUUUGUUCAAGUCCCCGAGCGGCGGCGGGGUCGGAGCCCGCGCCCUGGGCGACUGAGGCGCCCGCAAUCCGCGCCCCGGCGCCCUGGCGAUGCCGGACCAGAUCUCCGUGUCGGAAUUCGUGGCCGAGACCCUUGAGGACUACAAGGCGCCCACGGCCUCUAGCUUCACCACGCGCACGGCCCAGUGCCGGGACACCGUGGAGGCCAUCGAGGAGGAUGCAGUGACUUAUGAUGAUGUGCAUGUGAACUUCACUGGGGAAGAGUGGAAGUUGCUGGAUCCUUCCCAGAAGAGUCUCUACAAAGAUGUGAUGCUGGAGACCUACUGGAACCUCACGGUUAUAGGCUACACUUGGGAAAACCAUCAAAUUGAAGGACAUUGUCAAAGUUCAAGAAGAAAUGAAAGGUUUAGUCUCCACUGCCAGCUGCCAUGGGCAAGCAGAACAGCCAGCUGUGUCCUGAGGUGCUGCAGGACCUGCAGAAACACAGGGAGUUCACCGACCAUGAGCUUCAGGAGUGGUACAAGGGCUUCCUCAAUGACUGUCCCACUGGCCACCUGACCGUGGACAAUUUCAAGAUCUAGCCCAACUUCUUCCCCUACAGAGAUGCCUCCAAGUUCGCUGAACAUGUCUUCCACACCUUUGACACCAACGGCGACAGCACCAUCAACUUCCAAGUGUUCAUCAUUGCUGUGAGCAUGACCUCUUGGGACAAGCUGGAACAGAAGCUGAAGUGGGCCUUCAGCAUGUCUGACCUAGACAGCAAUGGCUACAUCAGCUGCAGUGAAAUGCUGGAGAUAGUGCAGGCAAAAUGUCCCUGGAAGAAUUCAACAAAGGUGCCAAGAGCGACCAUUUAUUGUCCGGUUGCUGCAGUGUGAUCCCAGCAGUGCUAGCCAGUUCUAAGGGAAAUGGGCUUUACACAGUUGUGAGAAACACAGGCUUGACCUGCCAUCUUCAGCUUUGCUUGCAAAAGUGGUUUUCUCUGUGAUUUCUCCUGCUCUCUAGGGACCUGGGUCCAGACAGCACAUCAAACUCACCUGGUCUGGCUGGAUGCAGCUCCCUCCUCUGUCUGAUCCAAUAGAUGUCCCUCCCCAUCCAGUCCAGGCUGGUUCCUUCCAAGGUUUCAAGUGUUCUCAGCUGUAGGGCUCCUUCCCUGCCCACAGAGGGCCUGGAGGCCCUUAAGGACACCAGACUGGACUUUUCAGUAUCUUACCGAGACCAGCUGAUUUAUUCUAUGAUCCCAGCUGACUUUGUGAGGAUGAAGAAGAUGGAAAGCAGACAGGCAAGCCCUUCCUGUGCAUGGCUCCACCUCCCUUGUUUAUUUUCUCUGACCAAAGCUGCUUGCAUGUAUAAACCGUGGUAUCCUUACUUUUAAUAUAUAAGUUUUGUAUAAAGUGAGAAGGUUCAGCCCCUGUAUUUAAAGCCUCUGACUGCUUUUAAAGCAUGGUCCCCUGUGGCCUGUGAUUAUCCACACUCCCCAAGUCUGGCUUUGCUGUGGUAUUUAUGUAUUCAUUUGCCUAAUUACACAGGAGAUACAUGCAUGCCCAAGGCUGUGGACAUCUGCCCUCCGUCCUGCAAACACAGGUGUGCCUGUGUGCUCCAUCCUUCCUGUCCAUUGACCUGGCAUAUUAAAAUAAUCAAAUAAACCAA